rnacentral:lncRNA from 1 species
UUACACAUAACACACACACUUUUGAGGUCUUUCGGGUUGUAGCUUAGCUUGGGUUAGGGUAUGGAUUCAAAAAAAGGAAAACAAGGGGCUUUUGGUUCAGAGUCGAUGUUACAUCCUGUGUUGUUUUCUUUUAUUUCCUUGGUUUUCUUUUCUUAUUUCUUUAUUUUCUUACCGACUGCCCUUUUUCGUGCUUUUUCUUUUGAAUCUUCGAGUAUUCAAUUUUUAUUUUUCUUUCUUUUUCU